GGAGCCCCAGUCACCGGACCACCGUCGUUCGCUGUCGCCGCCGCCAUCACCGGCCACCGUGCGCGGUGGCUGGAAUUUCGAAAAAGGUGCCUUUUUUCCUUUUUUAUUUUAUUAUAUUCUAAUGAUUUUUUGAGAAAAAAUGGGGAAAUAUUGAUAUAUGUCUGCAAAUAGAUUCGAAAAAAAAAGAAAAUAAAAUAAAAAAUGAAGUAACCUUUGCCCUUGUAUACCUUGCUCUUUCUCCGAAUCUAUUUUUGGGAUUUUUGUUUUUGUAUUUGGAUCUCUGAUUUCUUUAUGUUCAAUGUUUACUGUAAUUUUUUUUUGUAUUUCAAAAAAAAUCCGACCUUUACAAUGGAUUUUUGGCUCGGCUUUUAUAGCCAUUUUACAUGCAUUUUUAUCACUUUAUGUCUCUUCUCCAUUUGAUAGUGCGGGUGCAAGUGGGAGAUAAGGAGGUGAAGCAGGUGGCCGACUGGCAUGGGCGAUGGGACAGAAGCGGCGACUAGGGGUCUAGGAUUUUUGAUUUCUACCAAAAUCUGUUUAGGUAAUGGGCCAUAGAGUUUGGGUUUUAGGGUUUUUUUUAUUUUAGGUUUAAAUUUGGGCUUAUGUAAUUUUAGUUGGGGUUUGGGUAUUUUAAUUUAGUGGGCAGGGCAAAAGUGGGCUGGUACAAGCCGGUAAUAAUGUCUUCUUUUUUUAGCAAAAUACUCAUUUGUUUCAUCACUUAAGCUUUUCUUGAUAAAGUGUAAAGAUGGAAAAUCUAAUUUUUUCAGUACAUAAGUGUGUUUGGUGUAAAAUAUUUAAAAAAUGUAUAAUUUUGAACUAAUAAAUAUAUUUUUAUUAUUAUUUUCUUUCCUUUCAUUUUUCUUCCUUACCAAUUACACUUAAAAUUUAUUUUCUUUCCACUCAAGAAAGCUCACCUCAUUUCUACUACGUGCUUAAAUAAAUCCUUGUUUCUUUAGUUGCAGGUAUCUAAGGUGUUCUGUGGAUGAACUUGAAAGAGGCUCGAGUCCAAAAAAUUGCUUGAUGCUCUCCAAGAAAAUAGAAGAAAUGUGGAGUUCUUUUUCCUGUUUUCUACCAAUAAGUUUCAGUGUAAUUUGUAUAAGACGUCGUUUUUGACUUUGCAUCAUAAGCU
rnacentral:lncRNA from 1 species